GCUAGAGUGGCCUAGUAGUUUGAGCUUUGGGCUACGACUCUGGAGACCAGGGUUCAAUUCCCUGCUUGGCCA